AUUGAACGCUGGCGGCAUGCUUUACACAUGCAAGUCGAACGGUACCAGGCCGCAAGGUGCUGACGAGUGGCGAACGGGUGAGUAAUGCAUCGGAACGUGCCCAGUCGUGGGGGAUAACUACUCGAAAGAGUAGCUAAUACCGCAUACGAUCUAUGGAUGAAAGCGGGGGACCGUAAGGCCUCGCGCGAUUGGAGCGGCCGAUGUCAGAUUAGGUAGUUGGUGGGGUAAAGGCUCACCAAGCCAACGAUCUGUAGCUGGUCUGAGAGGACAACCAGCCACACUGGGACUGAGACACGGCCCAGACUCCUACGGGAGGCAGCAGUGGGGAAUUUUGGACAAUGGGCGCAAGCCUGAUCCAGCAAUGCCGCGUGCAGGAAGAAGGCCUUCGGGUUGUAAACUGCUUUUGUACGGAACGAAACGGCUCUGGUUAAUACCCGGGGCUAAUGACGGUACCGUAAGAAUAAGCACCGGCUAACUACGUG
rnacentral:rRNA from 1 species